rnacentral:rRNA from 1 species
AUUGAACGCUGGCGGAAUGCUUUACACAUGCAAGUCGAACGGCAGCACGGACUUCGGUCUGGUGGCGAGUGGCGAACGGGUGAGUAACAUAUCGGAACGUAUCCAAUAAUGGGGGAUAACUAAUCGAAAGGUUGGCUAAUACCGCAUACGUCCUACGGGAGAAAGCUAGGGACCUUCGGGCUUGGCGUUAAUGGAGCGGCCGAUAUCGGAUUAGCUAGUUGGUGAGGUAAAAGCUCACCAAGGCGACGAUCCGUAGCUGGUCUGAGAGGACGACCAGCCACACUGGAACUGAGACACGGUCCAGACUCCUACGGGAGGCAGCAGUGGGGAAUUUUGGACAAUGGGCGCAAGCCUGAUCCAGCCAUCCCGCGUGAGUGAAGAAGGCCUUCGGGUGUAAAGCUCUUUCGCAAGGGAAGAAAACUUACCCUCUAACAUAGGGUGAGGUUGACGGUACCUUGAUAAGAAGCAUCGGCUAACUACGUGCCAGCAGCCGCGGUAAAAC